AGAGAAAUGAGAAAGAAUCUUACACAAGAUGAGAUGCAAAGAAUGUCUACUAGAGUCCUUUUGGCGACUCUUUCCAUUCCUAUUACUCCUGAGCGAACUGAUAUUGCACGACUUUUGGAUAUGGAUGGUAUUAUAGUUGAGAAGCAGCGGCGCCUUGCCACAUUGCUAGGUCUUCAAGCACCACCCACACGAAUUGGACUUAUUAAUGAUAUGGUCAGGUUUAAUGUGCUACAAUAUGUUGUCCCAGAAGUGAAAGACCUUUACAACUGGUUGGAGGUGGAAUUCAACCCACUAAAACUCUGUGAGAGAGUUACAAAGGUAUUAAAUUGGGUUAGGGAACAACCUGAAAAAGAACCAGAAUUGCAACAAUAUGUGCCACAACUACAGAACAAUACCAUACUCCGUCUUCUGCAACAGGUAAAAUAAAAGCAAAUGAUUAAUGG
rnacentral:lncRNA from 1 species